GGAUUAGAUACCCUGGUAGUCCACGCCGUAAACGAUGUUCACUCGCUGUUUGCGAUACACAGUAAGCGGCUGAGCGAAAGCAUUAAGUGAACCACCUGGGGAGUACGAUCGCAAGGUUGAAACUCAAAGGAAUUGACGGGGGCCCGCACAAGCGGAGGAACAUGUGGUUUAAUUCGAUGAUACGCGAGGAACCUUACCUGGGCUUAAAUGUAGAUUGCAUAGAUUAGAGAUAGUCUUUUACUUCGGUACUAUCUACAAGGUGCUGCAUGGUUGUCGUCAGCUCGUGCCG
rnacentral:rRNA from 1 species